rnacentral:misc_RNA from 1 species
GAUGAAGAACGCAGCGAAAUGCGAUAAGUAAUGUGAAUUGCAGAAUUCAGUGAAUCAUCGAAUCUUUGAACGCACCUUGCGCCCUUUGGCCAUUCCGAAGGGCAUGCCUGUUUGAGUAUCAUGAACACCUCAACUCUUCAUGGUUUUCCAUGAUGAGCUUGGACUUUGGGGGUCUUGCUGGCCUGUGGGUCGGCUCCUCUCAAAUGAAUCAGCUUGCCGGUUUUUGGUGGGCAUCACAGGUGUGAUAACUAUCUACGCUUGUGGUUUUCCACCAGGGUAACCUUCAGCAGUGGAGGUUCACUGGAGCUUACAAAUGUCUCUCCUCUGUGAGGACAGCCCUUUGAAUGUUUGAUCUCAAAUCAGGUAGGGCUACCCGCUGAACUUAAGCAUAUCAAUAAGCGGAGGA